GGACAAGGUAGAACAUCCGGUGAACAGGUCAAAAAUACUGUUAUUGACUGUAAUUGGAAGCUUCCUGUAAAAAUUACUCUAACAUAUUGUAUUUUUUUACACUAAUAGCUUAUGCCUACUGUAGAUUCAAAUGAUCAGUUUCAGGCGCCAACCUGUCGGGUGAGACACAUGACUAUUUUAGUAAAUAUCUUCUUGAAGCGGCUGUGAAGUGGAAGAAUAUUUUCAGCAGCUUCUGGGCUGAAUUUGACACAUAAACCACGUCGUGGGCCGUUACACCAGUCGCGAGCCACCAAAGCGGAUUCGAAUGAGCACUGCGCCUGUAUUGUAUCGAGGUGUUUGCGAACUAAGGUGCUUGUCACUGAGCAGCUGUAACACAGUGUUGCCGGCGGUAGCAACCAUCUAGAUGUCACCUUGAUACAGGCUACUCAAUGGGGAGAGCAUGAACGGCAACAACACAGGGACACAGUGUUCUCAGAUGUCACAACCCUGUGUGAUUGGGUUCACUGGGCUCUCAGUUUGAAUGACCUCUAGUGAGGGUGAGAAGAGCUGACAAAUCAGAACUGAGGAGGAUUGUUACGGAGCCCCAUGAUGAACACCUGAUUCUGCGCUGACUUCUCUCUCCUGGAUGCUCUACUGUACAUACUGUCCCGUUGUGUGUUUCACCGCCUCUGAACACCCUUACCCCGAAUAGAGUUGCCCCUGAUCAUAGGUCUAGGAUUGUACCCAAUCCCAAUUUGAACUUCCUCUCUCUCUUAGUCUCUGUCUCCCCACACUCCCCACACACAGGCAAACAAUAUUGUUUUUAAAUUAGUUUUGUAGUGUUGCUCUUAUUUGGUUAACUGUGUAACUUAACUUAUAUGUGUCAACUGUUGUUACUUCUAUAGUCAAUUAUUUUGUGUAAUUUGUUGUUAAUAUUGUUACCAAUUUAAAUAUAU